rnacentral:rRNA from 1 species
GACAGAGGGUGCAAACGUUGUUCGGAAUUACUGGGCGUAAAGCGCGUGUAGGCGGCCAUCUAAGUCGGGCGUGAAAUCCCCGGGCUCAACCCGGGAACUGCGUCCGAUACUGGAAGGCUUGAAUCCGGGAGAGGGAUGUGGAAUUCCAGGUGUAGCGGUGAAAUGCGUAGAUAUCUGGAGGAACACCGGUGGCGAAGGCGACAUCCUGGACCGGUAUUGACGCUGAGGCGCGAAAGCCAGGGGAGCAAACGGG